UAAAGCGCGCGCAGGCGGUCUUUUAAGUCUGAUGUGAAAGCCCACGGCUCAACCGUGGAGGGUCAUUGGAAACUGGGAGACUUGAGUACAGAAGAGGAGAGUGGAAUUCCACGUGUAGCGGUGAAAUGCGUAGAUAUGUGGAGGAACACCAGUGGCGAAGGCGACUCUCUGGUCUGUAACUGACGCUGAGGCGCGAAAGCGUGGGGAGCAAACAGGAUUAGAUACCCUGGUAGUCCACGCCGUAAACGAUGAGUGCUAGGUGUUAGGGGUUUCGAUGCCCUUAGUGCCGAAGUUAACACAUUAAGCACUCCGCCUGGGGAGUACGACCGCAAGGUUGAAACUCAAAGGAAUUGACGGGGGCCCGCACAAGCAGUGGAGCAUGUGGUUUAAUUCGAAGCAACGCGAAGAACCUUACCAGGUCUUGACAUCCUUUGACAACCCUAGAGAUAGGGCUUUCCCCUUCGGGGGACAAAGUGACAGGUGGUGCAUGGUUGUCGUCAGCUCGUGUCGUGAGAUGUUGGGUUAAGUCCCGCAACGAGCGCAACCCUUGAUCUUAGUUGCCAGCAUUCAGUUGGGCACUCUAAGGUGACUGCCGGUGACAAACCGGAGGAAGGUGGGGACGACGUCAAAUCAUCAUGCCCCUUAUGACCUGGGCUACACACGUGCUACAGUGGAUGGUACAAAGAGCAACAAAACCGCGAGGUCGAGCCAAUCUCAUAAAGCCAUUCUCAGUUCGGAUUGUAGGCUGCAACUCGCCUACAUGAAGCCGGAAUUGCUAGUAAUCGCGG
rnacentral:rRNA from 1 species